GCAAGUCGAGCGGAAAGGCCCUUCGGGGUACUCGAGCGGCGAACGGGUGAGUAACACGUGAGCAACCUGCCCCAAGCUUUGGGAUAACCCUCGGAAACGGGGGCUAAUACCGAAUAGGACUGCUGGCCGCAUGGCUGGUGGUGGAAAGUUUUUCGGCUUGGGAUGGGCUCGCGGCCUAUCAGCUUGUUGGUGGGGUGAUGGCCUACCAAGGCGACGACGGGUAGCGGGCCUGAGAGGGCGACCGGCCACACUCGGACUGAGACACGGCCCAGACUCCUACGGGAGGCAGCAGUGGGGAAUAUUGCACAAUCGGCGGAAGCCUGAUGCAGCGACGCGGCGUGAGGGAUGACGGCCUUCGGGUUGUAAACCUCUUUCAGCAGGGACGAAGCGAGAGUGACGGUACCUGCAGAAGAAGCACCGGCCAACUACGUGCCAGCAGCCGCGGUAAGACGUAGGGUGCGAGCGUUGUCCGGAUUUAUUGGGCGUAAAGAGCUCGUAGGCGGCUUGUCGCGUCGACCGUGAAAACUUGGGGCUCAACCCCAAGCCUGCGGUCGAUACGGGCAGGCUAGAGUUCGGUAGGGGAGACUGGAAUUCCUGGUGUAGCGGUGAAAUGCGCAGAUAUCAGGAGGAACACCGGUGGCGAAGGCGGGUCUCUGGGCCGAUACUGACGCUGAGGAGCGAAAGCGUGGGGAGCGAACAGGAUUAGAUACCCUGGUAGUCCACGCUGUAAACGUUGGGCGCUAGGUGUGGGGGGCCUCUCCGGUUCCCUGUGCCGCAGCUAACGCAUUAAGCGCCCCGCCUGGGGAGUACGGCCGCAAGGCUAAAACUCAAAGGAAUUGACGGGGGCCCGCACAAGCGGCGGAGCAUGCGGAUUAAUUCGAUGCAACGCGAAGAACCUUACCUGGGUUUGACAUGGCCGCAAAACUCGCAGAGAUGUGAGGUCCUUCGGGGGCGGUCACAGGUGGUGCAUGGCUGUCGUCAGCUCGUGUCGUGAGAUGUUGGGUUAAGUCCCGCAACGAGCGCAACCCUCGUUCGAUGUUGCCAGCGCGUUAUGGCGGGGACUCAUCGAAGACUGCCGGGGUCAACUCGGAGGAAGGUGGGGAUGACGUCAAGUCAUCAUGCCCCUUAUGUCCAGGGCUUCACGCAUGCUACAAUGGCCGGUACAAUGGGCUGCGAUACCGCGAGGUGGAGCGAAUCCCAAAAAGCCGGUCUCAGUUCGGAUCGGGGUCUGCAACUCGACCCCGUGAAGUCGGAGUCGCUAGUAAUCGCAGAUCAGCAACGCUGCGGUGAAUACGUUCCCGGGCCUUGUACACACCGCCCGUCACGUCACGAAAGUCGG
rnacentral:rRNA from 1 species